AAGUCGAGGAAACCAGAAAAGUCAAUUUUUACCUGUAUUGCAAUCGCCCACAUUGGCCUGCUUGUAAAGGCCGUACAAUUCGAGUAAAUCGCUAUCAGCCGGUGUGCUGCUCAAGUUCUUGACAUCCUCGGCAGCUUGGUUGAAUUCCUGUUCCGACAUGAUUAUCUAAAUAAUUAACUAUACUAAUGUCCAUCUCUAGACGACCGCGAUAGUUGACACGAGAGAGAACCACUGUUAAUUAACAGACCCAGGGCCGGCAGUUGUUAAGGAAAU
rnacentral:sRNA from 1 species